CGUGAGUCAGAGUCGCUGCUGGCGCUGGGACACCUGGACGCGCUCCGCGGCGGGCGCAGCCGGAAGUGCGUCACAGCCCGUCCGCGGGCCGUUUUGCGCGGCCGCAGUGGCCCCUCUAGGAACUCAGGGGAAGUCUCGGCGGCUCGGUAGAUCGCGGCUCCUCCAACGUGAACCGGCGGGAUCUCGUCUCCCCGGCGGUUUUUUACUAAAAAAAGUCCCGACCUAAAGGCGGCGGCUUCGGCCAGAAAGGAGCAACUAGGGAGACACCAUGCGGUUCGACCUGAGAGAAUCUGGAGAAACUUCUUACCUUUGGUAGAAAGACGGGAGAAUGAGGGACAAAGCGGUCUAGUUUUCCAAUCUGGGAAGUGUUGUCAUUUGAGAAAGAAGUUUGCAUUAUGGGACCAGAAGACCAAUGGAUGGAACUGAGGGAGAAGUUCAGUGCCAGGAAGGACUGUCUUGAGGAGGAGUUGCCCAGAAAUGGCCACUCGCUCGGGUUUCUGACGAGCGUCCUCCCUGCCCCGAAGGCGCGAGGCCGGGACCCCUGGUCCAGGGCGCACACCUGGGCCGCGGCUCCAUUCUAGGCCCGUCAGGGUCCCCACUCUCUGAAAAUCAGCGGGGAAAAUGUCCUCGGGUGAGGAUUCACAAAAACAAGCCAAACAAACAAAAAUGGCCACCUCCUGAAUCAUCUUGUGCUGUUUGAAGAAUUAGGAGAGGCCUGGGGAUGGGGCGGACAGGAGGUUCGCAGGAUGAAUUGUGUGGGUUAGACAACCUUUAACACCUUCCUACAGCUCGCCUGAGGCUCCUAGUUUCCCCUUUAAAACGGGGAACUUGUAACACUCCUUCGCCAUCACCGCUCCCUCCACACACCGCCUUUGAGUACUUACUAUGGGCCAGACCCCUCAAGGCACAACAAAUGGCACCAGGACAUUCCCUCAUUGUUAUUGUUAUCAAGUUAAUUGUCAACUGUUAAUUAUGUAAAACUCUCCUGUAUCCAUCUAUGUAAAAGAAGCAUAUGUCCAUCACUUCACUUUACCCUAUCCCAGAGGUUUCCCUGCUUUGCUUUAUCCCACCUCAAUCUGUCACCAAUGGAUUUCAUGUAAACCACUUCCGUAUUUUCCUUUUGAUGAUAAAUUUAUAAAAACAAGAUAUGAACUCCCCA